GGAGAGAUGGCCGAGUCGGCUGAAGGCGCUCGCCUGCUAAGCGAGUGUUGGGGGAAACUUCAACCGAGGGUUCGAAUCCCUCUCUCUCCGCCA
rnacentral:tRNA from 1 species